ACAUGAACCACUGGCUGAGAAACAUCCUGAUUCUGACUCUCUGGCUAGAGUGUAAAGGAGAAGACAGAGUGACCCAGCCAGCAGGAGAUGUCAUUGCUGCUGAAGGAGACACAGUUACACUUGGCUGUACUUUUGAGACUAGUGACACUCCAGCUUUGUUCUGGUACAAACAGGAUGGAAACAACAGCCCCAAAUUCAUGUUGAGCCGCAUGCAAGGGGUCGAAGUAAAAACAGAGGACGAGUUUAAGGAGAGAUUUUCAUCCACACUGGAUUCCACCUCAAGAUCAGUUCCUCUGAAGAUCCAGAAGCUUCAGCUGUCUGACUCUGCUGUGUACUACUGUGCUCUGCAGCCCACAGUGACAGGAAACACCAAAACUCUGUACAAAAAC